UUUGGUUAAGUUAGAAAGGGCGCACGGUGGAUGCCUUGACACUAGGAGUCGAUGAAGGACGGGACUAACGCCGAUAUGCUUCGGGGAGCUGUAAGUAAGCUUUGAUCCGAAGAUUUCCGAAUGGGGAAACCCACCAUACGUAAUGGUAUGGUAUCCUUAUCUGAAUACAUAGGGUAAGGAAGACAGACCCAGGGAACUGAAACAUCUAAGUACCUGGAGGAAGAGAAAGCAAAUGCGAUUUCCUGAGUAGCGGCGAGCGAAACGGAACAUAGCCCAAACCAAGAGGCUUGCCUCUUGGGGUUGUAGGACAUUCUAUACGGAGUUACAAAGGAACGAGGUAGACGAAGCGACCUGGAAAGGUCCGUCGUAGAGGGUAACAACCCCGUAGUCGAAACUUCGUUCUCUCUUGAAUGUAUCCUGAGUACGGCGGAACACGUGAAAUUCCGUCGGAAUCUGGGAGGACCAUCUCCCAAGGCUAAAUACUCCCUAGUGAUCGAUAGUGAACCAGUACCGUGAGGGAAAGGUGAAAAGCACCCCGGAAGGGGAGUGAAAGAGAUCCUGAAACCGUGUGCCUACAAAUAGUCAGAGCCCGUUAACGGGUGAUGGCGUGCCUUUUGUAGAAUGAACCGGCGAGUUACGAUCCCGUGCGAGGUUAAGCUGAAGAGGCGGAGCCGCAGCGAAAGCGAGUCUGAAUAGGGCGUUUAGUACGUGGUCGUAGACCCGAAACCAGGUGAUCUACCCAUGUCCAGGGUGAAGUUCAGGUAACACUGAAUGGAGGCCCGAACCCACGCACGUUGAAAAGUGCGGGGAUGAGGUGUGGGUAGCGGAGAAAUUCCAAUCGAACCUGGAGAUAGCUGGUUCUCCCCGAAAUAGCUUUAGGGCUAGCCUUAAGUGUAAGAGUCUUGGAGGUAGAGCACUGAUUGGACUAGGGGUCCUCAUCGGAUUACCGAAUUCAGUCAAACUCCGAAUGCCAAUGACUUAUCCUUAGGAGUCAGACUGCGAGUGAUAAGAUCCGUAGUCAAAAGGGAAACAGCCCAGACCGCCAGCUAAGGUCCCAAAGUGUGUAUUAAGUGGAAAAGGAUGUGGAGUUGCUUAGACAACUAGGAUGUUGGCUUAGAAGCAGCCACCAUUUAAAGAGUGCGUAAUAGCUCACUAGUCGAGUGACUCUGCGCCGAAAAUGUACCGGGGCUAAAUACACCACCGAAGCUGCGGAUUGAUACCAAUGGUAUCAGUGGUAGGGGAGCGUUCUAAGGACAGUGAAGUCAGACCGGAAGGACUGGUGGAGUGCUUAGAAGUGAGAAUGCCGGUAUGAGUAGCGAAAGACGGGUGAGAAUCCCGUCCACCGAAUGCCUAAGGUUUCCUGAGGAAGGCUCGUCCGCUCAGGGUUAGUCAGGACCUAAGCCGAGGCCGACAGGCGUAGGCGAUGGACAACAGGUUGAUAUUCCUGUACCACCUCUUUAUCGUUUGAGCAAUGGAGGGACGCAGAAGGAUAGAAGAAGCGUGCGAUUGGUUGUGCACGUCCAAGCAGUUAGGCUGAUAAGUAGGCAAAUCCGCUUAUCGUGAAGGCUGAGCUGUGAUGGGGAAGCUCCUUAUGGAGCGAAGUCUUUGAUUCCCCGCUGCCAAGAAAAGCUUCUAGCGAGAUAAAAGGUGCCUGUACCGCAAACCGACACAGGUAGGCGAGGAGAGAAUCCUAAGGUGUGCGAGAGAACUCUGGUUAAGGAACUCGGCAAAAUGACCCCGUAACUUCGGGAGAAGGGGUGCUUUCUUAACGGAAAGCCGCAGUGAAUAGGCCCAAGCGACUGUUUAGCAAAAACACAGCUCUCUGCGAAGCCGUAAGGCGAAGUAUAGGGGGUGACACCUGCCCGGUGCUGGAAGGUUAAGGAGAGGGGUUAGCGUAAGCGAAGCUCUGAACUGAAGCCCCAGUAAACGGCGGCCGUAACUAUAACGGUCCUAAGGUAGCGAAAUUCCUUGUCGGGUAAGUUCCGACCCGCACGAAAGGUGUAACGAUUUGGGCACUGUCUCAACCAGAGACUCGGUGAAAUUAUAGUACCUGUGAAGAUGCAGGUUACCCGCGACAGGACGGAAAGACCCCGUGGAGCUUUACUGUAGCCUGAUAUUGAAUUUUGGUACAGUUUGUACAGGAUAGGCGGGAGCCUUUGAAACCGGAGCGCUAGCUUCGGUGGAGGCGCUGGUGGGAUACCGCCCUGACUGUAUUGAAAUUCUAACCUACGGGUCUUAUCGACCCGGGAGACAGUGUCAGGUGGGCAGUUUGACUGGGGCGGUCGCCUCCUAAAGUGUAACGGAGGCGCCCAAAGGUUCCCUCAGAAUGGUUGGAAAUCAUUCGUAGAGUGCAAAGGCAUAAGGGAGCUUGACUGCGAGACCUACAAGUCGAGCAGGGACGAAAGUCGGGCUUAGUGAUCCGGUGGUUCCGCAUGGAAGGGCCAUCGCUCAACGGAUAAAAGCUACCCCGGGGAUAACAGGCUUAUCUCCCCCAAGAGUCCACAUCGACGGGGAGGUUUGGCACCUCGAUGUCGGCUCAUCGCAUCCUGGGGCUGUAGUCGGUCCCAAGGGUUGGGCUGUUCGCCCAUUAAAGCGGUACGCGAGCUGGGUUCAGAACGUCGUGAGACAGUUCGGUCCCUAUCCGUCGUGGGCGUAGGAAAUUUGAGAGGAGCUGUCCUUAGUACGAGAGGACCGGGAUGGACGCACCGCUGGUGUACCAGUUGUUCUGCCAAGGGCAUAGCUGGGUAGCUAUGUGCGGAAGGGAUAAGUGCUGAAAGCAUC
rnacentral:rRNA from 1 species